UUGAAGCAUGCUUGGGCCUCAAGCCCAAGCUUCACACGGUCAAACACAAUCCCAAUCCAUGUCCACUUAGCAACAAGUCAAAAUAUCAAUACUCAACAACAUGAAUAACAAACAUUGCACAAUUUCACUCCAAUGCUUCACGUUUCUUCAUUCUCCAAAAAUGUUCAUAUGCAAACCUCUUCUAACUCAUCAACCACAACGCACAUGGAUCUUCUCCGUUUCAACAUCGAUGAGCAAGAUCCACAGUCGUGUUCUCUCACUCUCAUUUCGAGCGUCCAAACACCACGAGCAAAACUUUGAAUCUGGAUCCACGAUGUAUCUUUGAAAAAUCGAAUCCAAACCGAAUUCAUCAUCACCAAAUCAGAAUCAAAUUCAUCAUUCAAACUGCACCGAAUCAGAGUUGCAAAAUCCACAUCAACACACGAAUACACAGCAACACACGAAUCUUCUUCGUUCGUGAAUUCGCCUUUUGGAUUGGAUAUCGUCUAAGAAAGGUGCAGAUAGCUGAAACAAAGGAUAGAAGAUUUUUACCAGAUCGAAGUGGAGGGAUUAUCCGAUGCAAUGGCUCGACGAUAACAACUUCACAGAGCUUUUCCUGAAUGAAGGAGCUUCAGUUCUGUGUUGUUGGAAAAAAUACAGGGAGAUGCGUUUUGCGUGUGGAUCGUUUCAUUUGCUUGAGAUGCUUGGAUGUGGAGUCUUGUUCUUUGGUUUGUUGGACAAGUUUGAAGGAGGAAACUUGGGUUGUUGCUUGGAAAGUGUUAACAGGGAUUGGACAAUUGUUAUGGCAUGCUUGUAUGUUGUUUGGAUCAUGGACUGUAUUGGGAAAUUGGGGUUACAAUUGUAUGGAUUUUGUAUUGUGUAUUAAAUUGUAAGAACUAAUAUGGGAUUCUAUUGAACUGUUAAUUGAAAUUUGAAUGUGAAAGUAUUCAAUA